AGUGAACGCUGGCGGCGUGCCUAAUACAUGCAAGUCGAACGGAGUGGCGCACGGGUGAGUAAUAUAUAGCUAAUCUGCCCCUUGCUGGAGGACAACAGUUAGAAAUGACUGCUAAUACUCCAUAGCAAGGGAUGAGACUAUAUCGUAUCAGCUAGUCGGUGGGGUAACGGCCUACCGAGGCUAUGACGCGUAACUGGUCUGAGAGGAUGAUCAGUCACAUUGGAAGGGGGACACGGUAGAGACUCCUACGGGAGGGAGCAGUAGGGAAUAGUGCACAAUGGGGGAAACGCUGACGGAGCAAGGCCGCUUGAAGGAUGACACUUUUCGGAGCGUAAACUCCUUUUGUUAGGGAUGCGGUACCUAACGAGUAAGCACCGGCUAACUCCGUGCCAGCAGCCGCGGUAAUAC
rnacentral:rRNA from 1 species